rnacentral:rRNA from 1 species
GACGAACGCUGGCGGCGUGCUUAACACAUGCAAGUCGAACGGUGAAGCCCUUCGGGGUGGAUCAGUGGCGAACGGGUGAGUAACACGUGGGCAAUCUGCCCUGCACUCUGGGACAAGCCUUGGAAACGAGGUCUAAUACCGGAUAUUACCCUUGACCGCAUGGUCUUGGGUGGAAAGCUCCGGCGGUGCAGGAUGAGCCCGCGGCCUAUCAGCUUGUUGGUGGGGUGAUGGCCUACCAAGGCGACGACGGGUAGCCGGCCUGAGAGGGCGACCGGCCACACUGGGACUGAGACACGGCCCAGACUCCUACGGGAGGCAGCAGUGGGGAAUAUUGCACAAUGGGCGCAAGCCUGAUGCAGCGACGCCGCGUGAGGGAUGAAGGCCUUCGGGUUGUAAACCUCUUUCAGCAGGGAAGAAGCGCAAGUGACGGUACCUGCAGAAGAAGCACCGGCUAACUACGUGCCAGCCGCCGCCGUAAUAC